GGGAGAGGUCAACUGACUGCUAGACGAUUGUCAAUGACAAUUCACCACAACCAUUGGGAUGAAUAUCCACGUCUGGUACAAGCAGAAAGAAUGGAAAACAGUGAGACACGCUGAUUACACAAUUUACCUGAAGGACACGCUGUUACCUUCGUGGAGGAGAGGAGUACACCCUGCUCAAAAGGACCAAAGAGAUCAAUGGACAAUGGACACAUGGAAACACAUCAUCGAAGAAAUCUGAGCAUGGCCGAGAUAACUGGCCAAAGCCUAAUGGAUGAAAUGCCUUGCUUGUUCGACUGAAGACAUAUUACUGAGCCAGCCCACUGCAUUAAGACAUAAGGCACAGAACUAGAGGUAGAAGAUGUUUGGAAAUGUACAAAACAAUUGGAUGCCAAUGGGAGCCUACAGAUGGGCAGUUAAUUUUUCUGAGUCAGAAAAUUAUACUUGGACCUCCUGUCAGCCAUGGUCUAUUGACCUCUGGUUGUGAAGGACAGGAUUCAGCCUCAAGCCUGGCCGCCCCUACCUUCCUCCUGUUUUCCUCGCAGUACAAACACAUCACAGUGUUUCAUCAUUCACACUAUGUCAAAGGUCCUGUUCCUGGGCUCCAACAGAGACUGGAUACCUCACUGUCCUGCACAGCUCCCUCCCUGGGACUUCCGUUACCUUCUUAUC